rnacentral:rRNA from 1 species
UACGAAGGAUGCAAGCGUUAUCCGGAUUUAUUGGGCUUAAAGGGAGCGUAGGCGGUCUUAUAAGUCAGUGGUGAAAUCUCGUUGCUUAACAACGACCGUGCCAUUGAUACUGUAGGACUUGAGUACAGUUGCCGUUGGCGGAAUGUGUCAUGUAGCGGUGAAAUGCAUAGAUAUGACACAGAACACCGAUUGCGAAGGCAGCUGACGAAACUGUAACUGACGCUGAGGCUCGAAAGCGUGGGGAUCAAACAGG